GGCUUUGAGGUGUGAUCACGUCAGAUUGCAAAUCUGAAGAAGCCAGCUAACUGCUGGCCGAGGCCU
rnacentral:tRNA from 1 species